rnacentral:rRNA from 1 species
GAUGAACGCUGGCGGCGUGCCUAAUACAUGCAAGUCGAGCGAACAGACGAGGAGCUUGCUCCUCUGACGUUAGCGGCGGACGGGUGAGUAACACGUGGAUAACCUACCUAUAAGACCGGGAUAACUUCGGGAAACCGGAGCUAAUACCGGAUAAUAUAUUUAACCGCAUGGUUCAAUAGUGAAAGACGGUUUUGCUGUCACUUAUAGAUGGAUCCGCGCCGCAUUAGCUAGUUGGUAAGGUAACGGCUUACCAAGGCAACGAUGCGUAGCCGACCUGAGAGGGUGAUCGGCCACACUGGAACUGAGACACGGUCCAGACUCCUACGGGAGGCAGCAGUAGGGAAUCUUCCGCAAUGGGCGAAAGCCUGACGGAGCAACGCCGCGUGAGUGAUGAAGGUCUUCGGAUCGUAAAACUCUGUUAUUAGGGAAGAACAAAUGUGUAAGUAACUAUGCACGUCUUGACGGUACCUAAUCAGAAAGCCACGGCUAACUACGUG